AUCUCUACGUGCCCAGAGCUUCAAAUACAACCCUCCCAUCACAGUCAGACGGGCACAAAACUUCAACCAGCCGUUUCUCUGCCUGGAAGCGGCGAACAUGUAACCUGGACGGGAGGCUGGAUGGGGACACAUACCAUGAGUGACAUCUUACCAGAGGGUGGCCAUGAACUUCAUCAUGUUCCACAACUGUUAAUGACCACUGGCGCUGGCCCUGCUGCUCUCUGAACUCCUCUCUGUGGAACUGUGCCCCUUCUCUGGGAAGAGUCCUUGAAGCUCUACUGAGAAUGAAACCUCUUCUUUCAGCUCAUGUCAAUCUUGGUAUUUUCCCAACAUGUUCAGGUUCUGGCUUGGAGGUGCUAUCUGUUGUUGACUUUGGACAUAAACGAAGCUGUUAUUUGCCUCUUUUGGUUUGUUAUGUUAACAAGCUUUUGGGAUUUGUUCUUUAAGAUUCCCCACCCCUAUUGUAUGAUGAUAGGUGCUGGAACCAGACUGGUUGGGUUCAAAUUUUUGCUGUCGCUAACUUGCUUUGUGAACACAUGUCAGUUACUGAAUCUCCCCGUGCCUCAGUUUUUUAAAUAUGUAAACAGGGAGUUCUCGUAGUACCCGUGGGUCUUAGUCAGUUAUUGCUAUAGAACAAACCACCCCCAGACUUAGUAACAUCAACAACAA
rnacentral:lncRNA from 10 species